UAACUAAUAGCGAAAUAAAUUUUGGGCAAAAACCAAUAGCUUAAUUUGAGGGCAAAUUGUGGUGAAAUUCCCACCGGCAUGUCAAUGUUUUUUUUUGUUUGGUUUAAUUGGAAAGCAAGGCUGCAAACUGCAUUUUUUACAGAAGAUAUCAACAUAUGUAUUUGACGCAGACUCAGAGCAACAACAACUGCAACAUACCCACAAUAACAUGUUGCUUCAUAAACAAAAUCAUAUGAGUAAUAUGGCACCCAGCAACAAUUGCAAAAAUGCAUUUAAAGAACAUAUAUGUAUAUUUAGUAAUUUAUAAACUUAAUAAUAAUUAACCGACUUAUAAACAUUAAAAUUAUUUAUGUUGAUAUUUAUUAAAAUUAAAACAAUUGCACAUUUUUUUUAAAUUUGUCGUCGUAGUCGCAUACGGUAGCGUGUAAUCGCCUGUGCAAUAUUUUGUGCAAUUACACGUGCACGCAUUAACA